CCCCCCCCACCCCCCCGGCUCGGUUGGCGCGAUGCACAAAUAAUUCGAACGUGACUGAGUCCCUGUGAGAUCUGUUCUUACUUUCGGCGGGGUUUCGACCCCGCCCGAGUUGAAUGAUUUUCGUGGUCAUGAAUAACCGAAAACACAACUCUCAGCAACGGAUAUCUUGGCUCCUGCAACGAUGAAGAACGCAGCGAAAUGCGAUACGUAGUGUGAAUUGCAGAAUUCCGCGAAUCAUCGAGUCUUUGAACGCAAGUUGCGCCCGAGGCUUGUCCGAGGGCAUUUCCGUCAGAGCGUCACCGCGCGCCCCCCGCCGAGCCCACCGCGGCUCGAGCGGAAGUGUGCCCGUCCCGGCCGACGAGGCCGGGUCGGGUGAAAUGGAGGGAAUUUGGCCGGCGUGGUGACGCAGCCCGCGAUCAGGUGAUCCGUAAAUGGAAGCUAAGUGCGCGGCUGCGUCGCCCAGUUGGGCGAUUGAGCAAGUUCCGGAGCAGGUCCUCCCCCGCGUCGCGUCGCGCGCCGGGGAGGGAACCCAGUGACGCAUCAGACCUCUGAUCGGAAAAGAC
rnacentral:sRNA from 1 species